GUGGGGUAAUGGCUCACCAAGGCGACGAUCCGUAACUGGUCUGAGAGGAUGAUCAGUCACACUGGAACUGAGACACGGUCCAGACUCCUACGGGAGGCAGCAGUGGGGAAUAUUGGACAAUGGGCGAAAGCCUGAUCCAGCCAUGCCGCGUGUGUGAAGAAGGUCUUCGGAUUGUAAAGCACUUUAAGUUGGGAGGAAGGGCAGUAAGUUAAUACCUUGCUGUUUUGACGUUACCGACAGAAUAAGCACCGGCUAACUCUGUGCCAGCAGCCGCGGUAAUACAGAGGGUGCAAGCGUUAAUCGGAAUUACUGGGCGUAAAGCGCGCGUAGGUGGUUUGUUAAGUUGGAUGUGAAAGCCCCGGGCUCAACCUGGGAACUGCAUCCAAAACUGGCAAGCUAGAGUACGGUAGAGGGUGGUGGAAUUUCCUGUGUAGCGGUGAAAUGCGUAGAUAUAGGAAGGAACACCAGUGGCGAAGGCGACCACCUGGACUGAUACUGACACUGAGGUGC
rnacentral:rRNA from 1 species